GUCACUGAAAAGAACGAAAUCCAACACCACAGCUAGAAAGAGCGUCUUAGAACGAGUAAAGCUGCAAAGAUUGUUUGCUAAAUGUUGUAAAAUUAAGGAAAUAUAUAGCCCUUCGAAGUUCGCAAAUUUUGUGAUAUAUUUGUAUUGGCUACUGAUCAUGAUAAGAGAUAUGACUGACUGGCUACUGAUAAGAGAUAUACUUACCUCUU
rnacentral:lncRNA from 1 species